GGACCCGCACAAGCGGUGGAUUAUGUGGUUUAAUUCGACGAUAAGCGAGGAACCUUACCUGGGCUCAACUACUAGCUGCAUUGGGGCAGAAACGUCCCAAGCCUUCGAGGGUGCUAGAUAGGUGCUGCAUGGUUGCCGUCAGCUCGUGCCGUGAGGUGUACCGUUAAGUCGGGAAACGAGCGCAACCCACGUCGUAUGUUAAAUUGUACAUACGAGACUGCCUGCGCAAGCAGGAGGAAGGGGUGGAUGACGUCAAAUCAGCAUGGCUCUUACGUCCAGGGCUACACACAUAAUACAAUGGCCGGUACAGAGGGUUGCUAAGUCGCGAGAUGGAGCUAAUCCCAUCAAAACCGGCCCCAGUUCAGAUUGUAGGCUGCAACUCGCCUACAUGAAGUUGGAAUCGCUAGUAAACGCAUAUCAGCCACGGUGCGUUGAAUACGUUCUCGGGUCUU
rnacentral:rRNA from 1 species